AAUUGGGCCCACAAUCGCCUCCCGUGUUUGUUCUCCGACCCCAAGACGGCACUCUCUUUCCUACCCUGCAUCAGACACUCCCUCACUCUUAUGAGAUGCUCUCUCUAACCUCCUCUUUCUCUCUCUAAGACAGAGAGAGACUAUAUCUAUACACUGUAUCUCCCUCCCUCCCUCCCUCAUACACACACACUUUGUGUUUUUACGGAACCCAUUUUCGUUGUCUUUGAUUUCUCUCAUUGGAAACCCUAACCAAUGCCUCCUCCUCCGUUUCCGUCAAUGGAGCCCCGCCGUAUGGAUCCUCGGAUUUGGCGGGCCUGCGCAGGGAACUCUGUUGAGGUUCCGACUGUUCACUCUAGGGUUUAUUACUUCGCGCAGGGUCAUGCCGAGCAAUCUCCAUCUGCUCCAACUCUAUCACGUAUUGCUCUCGCCAAACCCUUUGUGCUAUGCCGAAUCUCGGCCGUCGACUUCUUCGCCGAUCCAGUGACUGAUGAAGUCUUUGCUAAGCUGUGCCUUGUCCCACUCAAUCCUCGGUCCAACUCUCCAAUAGUGGAAUCCGCUGUAGACUCGCAAUUUGUGUUAACUCGAGAGAGCAGAACGGACGGCAGUGUGGCUCGUGAUGAAAACGAGGAUAAGAUCCUGGCGUUCGCUAAGAUUUUGACGCCGUCUGAUGCGAAUAAUGGUGGUGGCUUCUCGGUUCCGAGGUUUUGUGCUGAUUCGAUCUUCCCGCCGCUCAACUUCCAGGCUGAGCCGCCUGUGCAGACCCUAACCCUCACGGACGUUCACGGAACCCGCUGGGACUUUCGCCAUAUUUACCGUGGAACUCCCCGGCGUCACUUAUUGACUACAGGGUGGAGUAAGUUUGUCAACCACAAGAAGCUAAUUGCUGGUGAUUCCGUGGUUUUCAUGAGGAAUUCGCAGGGGCACUUGUUUGUAGGGGUGCGGCGGGCAGUGAGGUUUCAGAGUGCAGAUUGCUCCAGGUGGCGGGAGCAGAUUGGUGGAGGAGGGGUGAGAGUGAAACUGGAGGAGGAGGGAUUCUCCAGGAGCGGGAGAGGAAGGGUGCCACCUGAGGCAGUUGCACAGGCGGCAGAGAGGGCUGCACAGGGCUUUCCAUUCGAGGUGUUGUACUAUCCUAAGAUGGGGUCAGCCGAUUUUGUGGUGAGGGCUGAGGCGGUUGAGGCUGCAUUGAAUGUAUUUUGGACACCUGGAAUGCGUGUGAAGAUGGCCAUGGAGACUGAGGAUUCGUCUAAGAUGACAUGGUUUCAGGGAACAGUAGCUGCUGCUUCGGUGCCCGAGAGUGGGCCUUGGUGCGGCUCUCCUUGGCGCAUGCUUCAGGUUACUUGGGAUGAAUCUGAAGUUUUGCAGAAUGCUAAGAGAGUGAGCCCUUGGCAAGUUGAAAUUGUUGCAGCCACUCCAUCACUACAUGUUGCAUUCCCUUCGACAAAGAAAAUAAGAUUACAUGAGAAUUCUGGGUUGCUGACGGAUGGGGAUGGUGAAUUCUUCUUUCCCAUAACAGGGUCACCUAAUUCAACAAUGACAUCAAUUGAUGCAUCAUUGUUGACUUAUAACCCUUUUCCUGCUGGCAUGCAGGGAGCCAGGCAAGAUACUUUUUCGACCUUUUGCUUUUCUGACCUUUUAAAUGGAAAUGCUCCUCAGAUGUGCACUGAUAAUAUCUAUGGCAACAACAUGGUGCCUAAGUUGCAAAGAGUGUCUACUGAGUUGAACAUUGGCAGUUCACAGUCUGAGAACUUAUCACCUGAUAGCCAGAGUAGUAUCCAUUCCUUUGGCACAGAAGUUAUUGGAAAUCAGGGCCGCAACUCAACAAAAGUUGGUGUUACUUCAUUCCAGCUAUUUGGUAAGGUCAUUCAAAUGAAUCAGCCAGUUGCAAAUGGUUUUGACGAGGAUGGUGACUCGGAGAAUGAUGGCUGUAAAAGGCUUGAUGUUGAAUGCCGAGGAGCAUCAGCUAUUGAAGCGUGCCCUUUGUGAAAUAGCAGUUGCAUCUGUCAUGCAGUGAGUAGCUGUACAGUGGUAAAUAUUUUACUACCCGUGUGUUCAGUUGGCCAAGGGAAUCUGUUUUUCUUCAAUCAACUUAAGUUGUGUUGUGAGGUUAGUAAGCAGGCAGGAAGCUGACUCCUUGACUCCGGCAGAUCUAAUUAGGAUAUGGUGGUUUGUCUUAGUUAGAUGUUUUCUUUAUUUCACACCGGCAGAUGUAUGUGCUGGUUUCUUUAGACAUAUUGGAAACUCGGAAUGUCUAAUAAGUGUUCUAAUCCUUGUGACCUAAAAUCUGCUUGAGAUUGGUUUUUAAUUUUCUGGCUUGAGGUGAUGUGAUUGUCUUUGAUAGUUUAGACUUGAGAAGAGUUGGGGGCUUGGUUAUGGUUACCAUGUUGAAAUUGUAGCCUGAAAAGAGAGAUUCCAUUGUGUUUGUGAGAUGAUUCAAGUAAAUGGUUUGAAGCUUUUAAAUUCCUCUG